GCGCCGAUGGUGUAAAACAUCGCUGCCCUGAAAGCGGAAGAUGCGAGUUCGAGUCCCGCCUGGCGCA
rnacentral:tRNA from 1 species